GGAGGAAAGCAGGGGAUCGCAAGACCUUGCGCUUUUGGAGCGGCCGAUGCCUGAUUAGCUUGUUGGUGAGGUAAAAGCUCACCAAGGCUUCGAUCAGUAGCUGGUCUGAGAGGACGACCAGCCACACUGGGACUGAGACACGGCCCAGACUCCUACGGGAGGCAGCAGUGGGGAAUUUUGGACAAUGGGGGCAACCCUGAUCCAGCCAUGCCGCGUGAGUGAAGAAGGCCUUCGGGUUGUAAAGCUCUUUCAGCCGGAACGAAACGGUUACGGUUAAUACCCGUGACUACUGACGGUACCGGAAGAAGAAGCACCGGCUAACUACGUGCCAGCAGCCGCGGUAAUACGUAGGGUGCGAGCGUUAAUCGGAAUUACUGGGCGUAAAGCGUGCGCAGGUGGUUUUGUAAGUCAGAUGUGAAAUCCCCGGGCUUAACCUGGGAACUGCGUUUGAAACUACAAAGCUAG
rnacentral:rRNA from 1 species